rnacentral:rRNA from 1 species
UCUGACCCAGCCAUGCCGCGUGCAGGAAGACUGCCCUAUAGGUUGUAAACUGCUUUUAUACAAAAAGAAACACUGCUACGUGUAGCAGCUUGACGGUACUAUAAAAAUAAGGACCGGCUAACUCCGUGCCAGCAGCCGCGGUAAUACGGAGGGUCCGAGCGUUAUCCGGAAUCUUUGGGUUUAAAGGGUCCGCAGGCGGUCAAUUAAGUCAGAGGUGAAAUCCCAUAGCUUAACUAUGGAACUGCCUUUGAUACUGGUUGACUUGAGUCAUAUGGAAGUAGAUAGAAUGUGUAGUGUAGCGGUGAAAUGCAUAGAUAUUACACAGAAUACCGAUUGCGAAGGCAGUCUACUACGUAUGUACUGACGCUCAUGGACGAAAGCGUGGGGAGCGAAUUUGAUUAGAUACCCUGGUAGUCCACGCCGUAAACGAUGGACACUAGUUGUUGGGCAUUAGCUCAGUGACUAAGCGAAAGUGAUAAGUGUCCCACCUGGG